rnacentral:rRNA from 1 species
AGAGUUUGAUCCUGGCUCAGGAUGAACGCUGGCGGCAUGCCUAACACAUGCAAGUCGAUCGGUAAGGCUCUUCGGAGUACACGAGAGGCGGACGGCUGAGUAACGCGUAGGAACACACCCUGCAGUGAGGGAUAAGACACCGAAAGGUGUUCUAAUACCGCAUACGGUCUUCGGAUUAAAGCAUUUAUGCGCUGAAGGAGUGGCCUGCGUCAUAUUAGAUAGUUGGUGAGGUAACGGCUCACCAAGUCGAUGAUGUGUAGCUGGUCUGAGAGGAUGAUCAGCCAGACUGGAACUGAGACACGGUCCAGACUCCUACGGGAGGCAGCAGUGAGGAAUAUUUCACAAUGAGCGAAAGCUUGAUGGAGCAAUGCCGCGUGCAGGAUGAAGGCCCUCGGGUUGUAAACUGCUUUUAUAAGAGAAGAUUAUGACGGUAACUUAUGAAUAAGGGACGGCUAACUACGUGCCAGCAGCCGCGGUCAUACGUAGGUCCCGAGCGUUAUCCGGAGUGACUGGGCGUAAAGAGUUGCGUAGGCGGUCAAGUUAGCGAGCGAUGAAAACUAUCGGCUCAACCGAUAGCUUGUUGUUCGAACUGCUUGACUCGAGAGUAUCAGAGGUCGCUGGAAUUCCUAGUGUAGCAGUGAAAUGCGUAGAUAUUAGGAAGAACACCGAUGGCGUAGGCAGGCGACUGGGAUAUUUCUGACGCUAAGGCACGAAAGCGUGGGUAGCGAACCGGAUUAGAUACCCGGGUAGUCCACGCCGUAAACGAUGGAUGCUAAUUGUUUGAGGUAUCGACCCCUCGAGUAAUAAAGCUAACGCGUUAAGCAUCCCGCCUGUGGAGUACGGCCGCAAGGCUAAAACAUAAAGGAAUUGACGGGGAC